ensembl:lncRNA
GGCGCUGGAAGCUUCUGGGGCGCGCAGCUUGGGCUUGGCACACGCUGGGAAGUAAGUCCGGGACUUCCGCCCUCGGCGAAGUGAGCCAGGCAGGCCUUCGAUGGACCCAAGGCUUCAGCGACUUCGGAGCGGAGGCCUUGCCUGAGCGCCCCGGUGAAAGCGGCCUAAUGAAGGCGGGUGGAGGUCCCUGCCAGAACCCCCAGCCUCAAACCGGGAGAAGCAGCGGAAGGACGUUCCCUUAGAGAAGUUACGUUUGUGGACAAGCCUGCGCUUCAGAAACCACAGAUGUGCCACCGUCCAAACCGGUGUCCCCACUUUCACUGAGCGCCCUUCCAGCCCCUGCUCUUUCUAGAGAGAAAAGGAGGACGCUCCAGGAUUCGUUUUCCUCACCCACGGCCUCCGAGGCCCGAGGUGUUCCCUUCCUCCUUUGUGUAGGAGUCGGAUGUGUGUCUGGUAGGAACGCUGCCAGCCUGAGUGCCCUGGGCAAGGCUGAAGGGGCAGUCGAUCCCAGGUCAAUCCCAGGUCAAUGAAGUGAUUCAUUCCCAUAACUUCCCAGUAGAUGGAUCAGGAAGAUCCGGGAGAAUCCUUCCAACAAAAACUGCUGUGCUUGUCUUUGUCACCAGGAUAAUUACAGGUGCUAAAAGGAAAAAAGGGAAACAGAAGCCUAACCAGCAGUCCGUGAAUUCAUCUAUAAGACAACAGACUCAGCUCGGAGGAGGCUGGCCCCUGGUCUUUUCCCAGGUAAGACGUGACUGGGCCGUAGCAGCUCCACAGGCUUCACCAGCAAGGCCAUGUGAUGCUGUUCCAUUAGGUAGAUUGAUGCCUCUGGUACGUCUUUACCAAGUGCCAGCUGUGGGCUGGGUACGGUGCUCGGGUUUGGGGAUGCACGGGGAACAGAACAAAGACCCCUGUCUUCAAGGAAGGUGCAUUCCAGUUUGGAGACAAUACAGACAACAACUGUAAUAAAUAGGCACAUUCUCUAGUUUGCUGCAGGUGCUGAGGGCUCUGG